rnacentral:misc_RNA from 1 species
GAUGAAGAACGCAGCGAAAUGCGAUAAGUAAUGUGAAUUGCAGAAUUCAGUGAACCAUCGAAUCUUUGAACGCACAUUGCGCCCGCCAGUAUUCUGGCGGGCAUGCCUGUCUGAGCGUCAUUUCAACCCUCAAGCAACUUCUGCUUGGUGUUGGGGAUCGGCCGUUAAACGCCGCCCCCGAAAUCUAUUGGCGAUCUCGCUGUAGCUUCCUAUGCGUAGUAGUAACAUCUCGCAUCUGGAGAGCGGCGCGGUCAUGCCGUAAAACACCCAACUUCUCAGGUUGACCUCAGAUCAGGUAGGAAUACCCGCUGAACUUAAGCAUAUCAAUAAGCGGAGGA